GUUAUAUACCUCUGCUAAUGGGGUAGGAUCCGAGGCCCUGUAAAGGGACACAUAGGCUCUCCUACCCAACUCCUAUUCCGUCACGUCCCCGUCAUGCAGAGUUGUUACCUGCUCCACCGUAUAUCCAAGCUUGGGUAAAAGGGCCAGUCCCAACCUCUUGGGCGGAUGGAGGAGCACGGCUGAACAGGAGGGG
rnacentral:ribozyme from 1 species